rnacentral:lncRNA from 1 species
GCUAUUUAGAAUAUAUUUUUUUGAGACCUCUGAAUCCAAAAGUAGUCUAAGAGAUAGCUCUCAGCUGUUUUUUUGAGCAUAGUUAGGGCAGGUGGCCUGCAUGGUAGGACUGACAUUGCUAUUCUGAUACAGAGGGAUUUGUUCAAGAGUUAAGCCUCCCAUUUAUCUCAUUUUCUAUUUUGAAUCCUUUUAGAAAAUGUGAUAAGUUGGGUAGCCAUUGUUUAUAACAUAUUUGAGGCUGUUUCUCUCCACUGUAACCUAAACCUCAGAUUGACUUGACUUUAACAACAGAGUAAAUGAUAAUAAUACAGUUUUUAUUUUCUUCCUGAAACAUUGAGAGUUUAUUCUACUCUAAUUGAGCACAUUAUUUUUGUGAGGUAUUAGGAACUGGUGAUCAAUAUUUUAUUGCCUAGGUUGGGGAACUUAAGUGUUUAUUAGUUUGCCUGAAUAAAUCCAAGAUAGGAUUUUGAAUUUAGGUUUCAGGUUUUAAAGAACCAAGCUAGACAGUAUUUUCAUUAGGUUAAAAAGAAUAUAUACUUAAAUAUUUAAGCAGUUUUAAAAAGAUUAUUUGAUGUUAUUCAAUUCUUGGUUUUAGUGGUUGGAUAUUGUAAUGUUUCGUAUUGUACAUCCAUUGGUUGGAUUUGGACCAUAGAUAGUAUUGAAAUUAUGGGUUUUGGAGGAAGGGAGAGGAGGAGUCUGACCUUUGCUAGUGUGCAUGUAUAUUGGGCAAGAAGAAUUAUACUUUUCCUUAAAAGACAAAGACUCCAAACUUGCCAUUAUAUUGGAUUAUUGUAACAAAUAUUUUUCUUACCUCAGUGAAGAAAAAUGUUCAUAUCCAAAUACUCAUGUUAUUUAUUAAUGUGAAGAGAUCACCAUACAAUAUUGCUGAAACAAAGCUGAAUUUUAUACUUCCUAAGCAAGGGAGAACUAUGCUUGGAG